UACGUAGGGGGCAAGCGUUGUUCGGAAUUACUGGGCGUAAAGGGCGCGUAGGCGGCACGGCAAGUCGGGAGUGAAAGCCCGGGGCUCAACCCCGGAACGUCUUUCGAAACUGCCGAGCUAGAGUGCGGAAGGGGCAACUGGAAUUCCCAGUGUAGCGGUGAAAUGCGCAGAUAUCGGGAGGAACACCUAUGGCGAAGGCAGCUCGCUGGGACGUUACUGACGCUGAGACGCGAAAGCGUGGGGAGCAAACAGG
rnacentral:rRNA from 1 species